rnacentral:rRNA from 1 species
AAAGAUUUAUCGCCUUUAGAGCGGCCCGCGUCUGAUUAGCUAGUUGGUAGUGUAAUGGACUACCAAGGCGACGAUCAGUAGCUGGUCUGAGAGGAUGAUCAGCCACAUUGGGACUGAGACACGGCCCAAACUCCUACGGGAGGCAGCAGUGGGGAAUCUUGCGCAAUGGGCGAAAGCCUGACGCAGCCAUGCCGCGUGAAUGAUGAAGGUCUUAGGAUUGUAAAAUUCUUUCACCGGGGACGAUAAUGACGGUACCCGGAGAAGAAGCCCCGGCUAACUUCGUGCCAGCAGCCGCGGUAAUACGAAGGGGGCUAGCGUUGCUCGGAAUUACUGGGCGUAAAGGGAGCGUAGGCGGACAUUUAAGUCAGGGGUGAAAUCCCGGGGCUCAACCUCGGAAUUGCCUUUGAUACUGGGUGUCUUGAGUAUGAGAGAGGUGUGUGGAACUCCGAGUGUAGAGGUGAAAUUCGUAGAUAUUCGGAAGAACACCAGUGGCGAAGGCGACACACUGGCUCAUUACUGACGCUGAGGCUCGAAAGCGUGGGGAGCAAACAGGAUUAGAUACCCUGGUAGUCCACGCCGUAAACGAUGAUUGCU